AUUGAACGCUGGCGGCAGGCUUAACACAUGCAAGUCGAACGAGCGGCGGACGGGUGAGUAGUGUCUGGGAAAGUGCCCGAUGGAGGGGGAUAACUACUGGAAACGGUAGCUAAUACCGCAUACCCUCAGAUGUACCCAGAUGGGAUUGGCUAGUGGGUGGGGUAAUGGCUAACCCAGGCGACGAUCCCUAGCUGGUCUGAGAGGAUGACCAGUCACACGGGAACUGAGACCCGGCCCAGACUCCUACGGGAGGCCGCAGUGGGGAAUAUUGCACAAGGGGCGAAAGCCGGAUGCAGCCAUGCCGCGUGUGUGAAGAAGGCCUUCGGGUUGUAAAGCUCUGUCAGUUGGGAGGCGUUACUCCCAGAAGAAGCACCGGCUAACUCCGUGCCAGCAGCCGCGGUAAUAC
rnacentral:rRNA from 1 species